rnacentral:rRNA from 1 species
CCCUUAGAUGUUCUGGGCCGCACGCGCGCUACACUGAUGCAUUCAACGAGCCUAUCCUUGACCGACAGGUCCGGGUAAUCUUUGAAUCUGCAUCGUGACGGGGAUAGAUUAUUGCAAUUAUUAAUCUUCAACGAGGAAUGCCUAGUAGGCGCAAGUCAUCAGCUUGCGUCGAUUACGUCCCUGCCCUUUGUACACACCGCCCGUCGCUCCUACCGAUUGAGUGUGCUGGUGAAAUGUUCGGAUCGGCCGUUUGUCGCGGUUUCCGCGUCAUGUGGCUGAGAAGUUCAUUAAACCCUCCCACCUAGAGGAAGGAGAAGUCGUAACA